UUUAUUUUAUUGAGUUAUUUAUUUGUUUAUUGAGUAGUUUAGUGAAACCAGCUUAACACCAAACUCAGAGACAUCCACAUUUCAGCAAAAUCUAGAUAACCAAACUUUUGUGAAGUAAGUAACUCCACUCUUCUGUUUAAUGAAGUGAACACUUUGGAGUUUCUGAGGAAACAGCCAUGUAGUUUUGCUGCAAUACUGUCCAAUAUGCCUUAUAACACAAUUCAGAACAGGUUGUAACACUCGGUGCUGUUGUUUUAUGAUAACUGGUUCGAUAUUUAGCAAAUAUGAUUGAAAACUGAGAUCACAGAACAGUGUGGUAGAUUACCAAUGAUUCAACAAGACAUCCAUAGAAUAUGGUUCUCUUUUGUGUCUGUUUCGCUUUCAGUCUUCUGGGACAAGAUAAAAAUGAACUUUCAAAGUUCAUCCUCAUCUUCAUCCUCAUCCUCAUCCUCAUCCUCAUCUUCCUCCGAGGGGAGUAUCACCUGGCAGGGUUUCGAAUUGACAACAGGCUACACGGUGGUGAAAGAACUGAGAGAUGGAGGCUUUGGAAGAGUGCUGGAAUGUGUGAAAAACAACACUGAAGAGCACGUGGCUAUAAAGAUGCCCGUAUCGAACAAUCUCGACCAUGAGGUAGGACACUGAUUUCAGCUGAACAGUGACAUAAAAAAGACAUUGUUUUAAAAAGAGGUAGUACCACUACAAGAUUCUGAGUAGUGGUACUGGUCAUGCUAUGUACUUUUUAGUUGUUAAGAAGAACUGAUUGGACUAUGUUGCUCAGCAAACAUAUUGUGUCUCCACAGGCAGAAAUCCUGAAAAAGCUCAUGAGCCACAAUUCAAAGGAGUCCAACAUCAUUGAAUACAAAGGAGACGUCUUCUUCGAAGAUAUGCGGCUCCUGGUGCUUGAAGAAUUGGACAUCGACCUGUGGGACGAUGUGGAGAAUUUAGCACAGCCAAUGCGACUGGAACACGUCCGUACAGUUAUUCAGCAGGUGUGACCUUCUAUUGUCUCCUUAUAUUUCUCUCCUUCAGUAGUGCUGGAAUCAACAUCGGUGGUUCAUUAACCUUGACAACUUCUACUUUUAUUGUCAUCUGACACAUUUCUUGAACAAACUCCUGAUAAAUGUUGUUACUUGCAGAUGGCUGUCGCUUUCAAUGCAACAAAGAGUGCUGGCAUAAUCCACUGUGAUGUGAAGGAGGAUGACAUCAUGAUGGUGGAUCACGUGAAGCAGCCCUUCAGAGUCAAGCUCAUUGACUUUGGUUUGGCCAAGUACAGAUCCGAAGCCGAAGCAGGAGAGCUAUUCCAAGUACUUGAAUAUAGAGCUCCAGAAAUCACCCUGGGCCUGCCGUAUUCAGAGGCCAUCGACGUUUGGUCCUUAGGCUGCGUGAUGGCCUGGAUGAUGACUGAAGAUAGUCUCUUCGGAUCAAACUCAGACUCAGAAUACUGGACACUCCGACGCAUGAUCCGUCUGCUGGGUCUGCCACCGCAACAUCUCAUCGAUGCUGGCCUGAGAUCACAAUUAUUUUUUCAGAAAAAGUCUAAUGGUUUGUGGCGGCUGAAGGUACAAUACUCCUACUGUGAUUUUACCUCUGACCUUUACUCACUCAAUAAGAUAAAGACUUUAGUAAGCAUCAUUGUUUUCUUCUUUCAGACACCUCGAGAGUAUUUUGAGACCGAUCUC